rnacentral:lncRNA from 1 species
CGGCAUUGGAAUAGUUCCAUACAGUCCUCUUGGUCGUGGAUUUUUCGGUGGCAAAGCUGUUGUGGAGAAUGUACCUGCAGAUAGCUUUUUGGUACUUUUUUCGGUCAAUGUUUAUCCGCAUCAUUUUGUUUCCUCAGUCAGUACUAUAUAAAUGUUUUAAACUAACAAAAGUAGUUUUACAGUUUCUUUUAAUGCUACUGUUUUAUAUAUCGUAGUAUAUAUGAAAAUGAUACGUGUGUUUGUUUUAUAAGCAUUUUCUUCCUAGGUUCAAAGGAGAGAACCUGGACAGGAACAAGAGUAUUUAUUUUCGCAUAGAGAACCUUGCCAAAAAGUACAAUUGCACUUCUGCUCAACUAGCCCUAGCAUGGGUUCUCGGACAGGGGGAUGAUGUCGUACCUAUUCCCGGUAACUUCUUUCUUUCGAGUUUGUGAUUCAUGUAGUGCCUUGAAGAAGUAUAUAGAGUUUAAAAAACCCAGUGGAUAAAAUGAUAUUACCAGCGAUAUUACUUACUGUUAAGUUGCUUCAAUUUUCAGGGACAACUAAGAUGAAAAACCUUGAUGACAAUAUUGACUCCUUGAGGAUUAAACUUACAAAAGAGGAUCUGAAAGAAAUUUCUGACGCUGUGCCCAUAGAAGAGGUAGCAGGAAACAGAGACCCGGAAGGCUUUGAUAAAGCAUCGUGGAAGUUUGCAAACACACCUCCAAAAGACUGCAAGGUUUGAACUUAAAAUAGUUCUGGAUGCUGCCUAUCUUACUUGGGGCUGGGAUGCAAUACUUUAUUCAAAUAAUGGCAGAUAAAUGCCAAAUUAUCUGUACAAUCUACUACUUGGCUAUCUGCCUAUUUGAUGUUAAACUUUGAUUAUUACGAUCUACUAUAUGUUUGGAAAUUUAGCAUGGCCAAUUUGUGAAAGGAAAAUACGCAUGUUUGAACUUUUCUAAGUUAAAGCUGAAUUCCAAGUUACUAUAAAAUCUUGCCAACUUGCUUUCCUUGAAAAUAAAGAUUAGAAAUAUCCAAAUUUUGGAUUGUAAUGAUUUUCCUGGAUUUUACUUCAUCAUAGUGUAGAUAUAUGUUGAAAUAUUUUCAGCCUUUUUGAGUUCCACGAAUGUGACAUGAAUGAAAUCUGUGAACCAUAUUUUAGCUCAAGCUGUUUCUCAACAAGACCUGGAGGACACUGGAUUGAAAAUAUAGUUUCUCAACAUACUACAUUGUCACUGCAACUUGAGUGGUUAAAUGAUAAAAGGUGAGUAUGUGUUGUUCAGAAAUAAGAAUAAUUGCAUAAAUUGUGAAGUUCACAAUACCAUUCAGGAGGCUAAAUUGACACAUUAAAAAACUUUCAAAUUCCUUCACCAACAAGGCACCAGUGGUCUUGUGGUAGAAUAAUACCCUGCCACGUAACAGACCCAGGUAUAGUAAUUAGCCCCACCUUCGAAUAAUUUUUAUUGUUGCCUUCUUUUGAUUAGUUCCAAAUCCUGCUUUAUUUUGUUAGUCCAUGGUACAAAGUACAAAACAGCAACACCAUUAACUCUCUUACGCCCUCCUUUAAUAAGAGUUAAGCUAAGCUACAAAGAGAGGAAAAGCUAACAGCUUUUCCAAAGAUGGCAGAAAAGAACAGAAUCCAAGUUCCAAGAGUGAAAUUUGGAUUUCCGAUUUGUAGUUUUCAUUUUUCUUUUUGUAUUUUUUUCCUUCAAUGCUGAUAAUUUGUUUUCUCUGACUGUGUUUUUGUGCUUUCACAGGUUUCAAAGCUGGGGUUUGGAUGCAUGAGCCUGAGCGGAGGUUACAAUUCUCGGGUCUCUGAAGAGGAUGGCAUCUCAAUAAUGAAGCAUGCUUUCAACAAAGGAAUCACUUUCUUUGAUACUGCUGAUAGAUAUGGACCAUAUAUACUAAUGAAAUUCUUCUUAGAAAGGUAAUGAUUAAGAAAAUGGAAUAAAAUGAAGUUAUCUUAUCAUGGAAUAACAUUUUAAAAGAAAAUCCAAAAUACAAAUAGGUUAUGUUUAUGCCAAAAAUUUAAAUAAAAAAAUAUAAAUUAGUAAUUAAAUUAACUUAACAAGGAUGAUGUUGCCGUAUUACACACAAAAAUAUAUUUUAUUUUGAUGAAUACUUAACGUUUGUAAAAUAAAUUAAAUUAAUUAGGAGUAAUAUGGACUUCUUAUUAUAAAAUAGCUUAAAUUGUUAGGGUAAGAGUUGAUUGUAGCAUUAUUAAAUUUAAAGGAGUAAGUAGUAUUUCUAACUUAUACUUGAGGAAGGAAUCUGUAAUUUUUCCAUGCAAAUAAGAAAUAUGUUUGUUUAAGGUAAUGGUAAAUAGCUACUCUUAGACAUUACUAAGAAAAUCAUAAGGUGGAAAUCAAAUCAUUGUUAAAAUUAUGUCAAUUUAUUUGGGGGGGAAAAAGUUCACUCCUUUCUAGUUUCUAGCCUUGAAGCAGUUGCCUAGGUUACAAGAUCAGCCACAAAGUUUGGGAUUACAGAAAUAGAUACCCCUGAGUAUGUACUCUGUUUUGUCGUGAAGCAAGCUUGAAGCACCUUGAUUUGAUUAUUAAUUGGUUUGACUUUCCUCUAAUCUUUUGGGUAAUUUCUAUAUAUGCUUUCACUAAAAACAAAUAAAUUUGCAAAGAAUACAUACAUAGAUAACUUUCUUUCAAAAUUAAAAAAAAAAAAAAAAAUGACCAACAAAGUGUUGGCUCCACUGGCAAUGGAGUUCCCUUAAGUGGCUUGACUGGGUUUGCUCCCCAGUUCGAGUCGCAGGGAAGUCGCCUUUGUUGGGAGAAUCUGUGCCUCCCGGUUCGAGCGGGGACUUCUAGUCUGAGUUGUGGUACGGGCUUAAAGGUGCCUCCCACAGUUGGGGCCCUCCCCAGGAUACCUCGUGAUUAAUAUAAAAAAAAAUGACAAGGAGAAAUUAUGAAUAUGAUGAUUCUUUAAAUAAAAAAUUUUACUGAUUUUCUAACAGCACAAAAUGCUUGAGAGGAAGAGAUUCUCAUAAAUCAAAUGUGAAAGGAUUAUGUUACCAUAAUAUAAAUAUGAAAAUGAAUUUUUCAUUUCUACUUAGAGCCUUGGGCCCAAACAAUUUUUUUUUUUCAAGUAUAAUACUUGAAUAGUUACAACAAAUGAUCGGACUAAUGACAUACACAAUACUUGAAUUUUCAGUAUAGAUUUAUAUUGAUGCAACAAAAUUGAUUCUCAUCUUCAUAGGCUAAGAAAUACAAAUCCAUUACUCAACUAAAAUUAUGGCGCAGAAGUUUUUGUUUUUGUUAAGGUUAAAAAAUGAGCAUAAAAGUAUACAUUUAACUGAUAAAUAAUUAGAAAAUUGAUAAAAUUAUUAAUUUUUUUUAGAAAAUUGAUUGAACUAGUCUGCAACAUUAAGUUUCAACAUAUCGUCCAAGGAUAGCCUAGCCAAGUUGGUAGCAAGAGAUUAAAUGUUCCAAUUUAAGGGGAUAUUCAUAGAUGUAAUCUGAAACAAAAAUGAAAUAAAAGUAAAAAUAAGCAAAUAAUGAAGUAAAAUCAUAAUCGAAUAAGAAUGCUAAGUUUUUAAAGAGGAGAGAAAUUACAAGUUAAGAUACGUUCAAAUUUCUUUGCAAACACACCCCUAAAAGAUUGCUAGGUUUGAACUCAAAAUAUUUCUUGAUGCUGCCUUAGUAGCUAUCUAACGCUUGGGGUCGGGAUCAAUACUUUAUUCAAAUAAAUGCUAAAUUAUCAAUAAAUUCUACUACAUGACUCUCUGCCUAUUGGAUGGAAAUUUGUAAAUUUAAUUCUGCCGAUUUUGUGAACUGAAAUUAUCUUUCGUUGUUAACUAGAAGUUAUAGCCUCAAGUUGCAAUAAAAUUUUGGCAAAUAGAGAUUGCAAAAUCCACCAGGAAAAUGCAGGGUGGCUUUUAUGUAUUUUAAUUCAGAUUGCUAUGUUGUUGCUACAUAACUGCCAUGUACCGAAUCAAAUGUAAACGCUUAAGGCUAUUUCUAGUAAAUAAUCUCCUAAAUUAAAAGAUGAAUUUGUUCCUACCUCCUUUUGGAGUUUUGGGUUCUGAUGCAGUGACUAUUCAAAUAUUGUUCUAAAAAGUUUAGAUACUUGACAUUCAAACUAUUAUGAAUAGUUAAUGGUCUUUACAUUGCUUGUAUUAUGAGGUCGGCAUGAGCCCUCAAUCAAAGAAGACACAAAGCCAUUGCAUUUGCAUUCAAGGGUAACAUAGGAGCCUAAAAUUUGCCACAAGAACAAAUAGAAACUACGGAAUAUACACUAUUGUGUUCAAAUUUCGUUCAAUUAAAAUAACGUCGUGGCACAUAUAUAAUUUAUGUUAUUAGAGAAAGUUUUUUAUGACACUAACGUACCAUGUUAUCAUACGUUUAUGCAAUAGAAUUGUAAUAUAUAUCCAUUUUGAAGUUGACCAACCAUGAAAGUGAGAGGAAACAAAAUUAAAACUUGGUGACACAAUAUAUUAUAUGGUCAAAUCGAGACUGUAAAUUUCUCUCCUAAGUUCUAACUGACAUUUUGCAAAGUCUAGGGGAUAUUUCUUAACUUUUAAAAUAUUUUGAACUUGUUUCCAAUUACACUGAACUUUGGGACACUUGUCAAAACUUUAUAAGUUCAUGAUUAAUCAUGAUAAAGAUAAAGAGCACGUGUCCCAGCUUAACACUUUUAGUCAUACGGAGCCUUCGACUUGGAGCCAAACCAGAAUCCUCUGUCUCAUUCUGCUCAUUGUUGACGUUAGAGUCAACUGUCUCUCUACUUAUUGAAACUUGAAAGACACCCAAAACAAAGAAACCAAAACUACAGCUUCAAAAAUGGCAGAAGAGAAACUCCAAGUUCCAAGAGUGAAACUUGGUACCCAAGGCCUCGAGGUAAACUACCCAUAUGUAAUUUUUUUUUUAAAAUCAAAUCCUGGAAAUUUGUUUUCUACAAUUGUGUGUUUUUCACGCUCUUACAGGUUUCAAAGUUGGGGCUUGGAUGCAUGAACCUGAGUUCUGGUUAUAGCUCUCCAGUCUCAGAAGAGGAUGGCAUCUCAAUGAUAAAACAUGCUUUCAGUAAAGGAAUCACUUUCUUUGAUACUGCUGAUGUGUACGGACAAAAUGCUAAUGAAAUUCUUCUGGGAAAGGUUAGAGUCAUUUCUUUGAAUUCUCUUACCUCUUAUAUAAUUCGGACAUAGGUCAAGUGAUAACUUAAGAAUCACAGUCCUGAUGAAAUAUGUUUGUUUAGGAAUUGGUGAAACCUCGUCGGAUUUUUUUGAAUCUUAUUGAAUUAAAAAAAAAAAAAAAAAGAGUACUCCUUCGAUUUCAGGCCUUCAAGAUGUUGCCCAGAGAAAAGGUACAAAUAGCCACAAAGUUUGGGGUUGUAGGACUAAGAGAUAAUGGCGUGAUCGUGAAGGGCACCCCUGAUUACGUGCGCUUGUGUUGUGAAGCUAGCCUGAAGCGACUUGAUGUGGAUUACAUUGAUCUAUAUUAUCAACAUAGAGUGGACACAUCAGUCCCCAUAGAGGAAACCGUGAGCGAUUUUUUUUUUUUUUUUUUUUUUUUUUUGGGCUAUCUGAAUUGUAGAGUUCUGUCCCAAAUUGCAAAAUUUAAAGAAUUAUUUUAGAAACUCUAUUACUUGUCAUGCUAUAGAUUGGUGAAAUGAAGAAGCUGGUGGAAGAGGGUAAAAUCAAGUACAUUGGAUUAUCUGAGGCCAGCCCAGACACAAUUAGGAGAGCACAUGCUGUUCAUCCCAUCACAGCUGUACAAAUGGAAUGGUCCCUCUGGACUCGUGAUAUUGAGGAAGAGAUAAUACCCCUCUGCAGGUUUGUUCUUCUUUCAGUGAAUACUAUCCGCAUUAGUCUUUUCUUCUACAGGCCUUUGAAGAGUGUCUAAGGACCUAUUUAUUUGUUCCAAUCUAGUAUUUUGUACCUAAUGUUUGUAGAAUUUUUUAAAUUUAAUUGCAUGCAUAGAGUAGAUUAGAUUUUCUGUGCAAGUGUAUGCUAAUAAAUACAAGGCUGCCCUUCUGAUACAUUGAGGUGGGCAGGGAACUCGGCAUUGGAAUAGUUCCAUACAGUCCUCUUGGUCAUGGAUUUUUUGGUGGCAAAGCUGUUGUGGAGAGUGUACCUGCAGAUAGCUUUUUGGUACUUUUUCCGAUCAAUGUUUAUCCGCAUCAUUUUGUUUCCUAAGUCAGUACUAUAUAAAAUGUUUUAAACUAGCAAAAGUAGUCUUACAGUUUCUUUAACUGUUUUAUAUAUCGUCGUACAUAUGAAAAUGAUACAUGUAUUUGUUUUAUAAGCAUUUUCUUCCUAGGUUCAAAGGAGAGAACCUGGACAGGAACAAGAGUAUUUAUUUUCGCAUAGAGAACCUUGCCAAAAAGUACAAUUGCACUUCUGCUCAACUAGCCCUAGCAUGGGUUCUUGGACAGGGGGAUGAUGUCGUACCUAUUCCCGGUAACUUCUUUCUUUCGAGUUUUUGAUUCAUGUAUUACCUUGAAGAAGUAUAUAGAGUUUAAAAAACCCAGCGGAUAAAAAGAUAUUACCAGCAAUAUUACUUACUGUUAAGUUGCUUCAAUUUUCAGGGACAACUAAGAUUAAAAACCUUGAUGACAAUAGUGACUCCUUGAGGAUUAAACUUACAAAAGAGGAUCUGAAAGAAAUUUCUGACGCUGUGCCCAUAGAAGAGGUAGCAGGAGACAGAGACCCGGAAGGCUUUGAUAAAGCAUCGUGGAAGUUUGCAAACACACCUCCAAAAGACUGCUAGGUUUCAACUUAAAAUAGUUCUUGAUGCUGCCUAUCUUACUUGGAGCUGGGAUACAAUAGUUUAUUCAAAUAAUGGCAGAUAAAUGCCAAAUUAUCUGUACAAUCUACUACUUGGCUAUCUGCCUAUUUGAUGUUAAACUUUGAUUAUUACGAUCUACUAUAUGUUUGGAAAUUUAGCAUGGCCAAUUUGUGAAAUGAAAAUACGCAUGUUUGAACUUUUCUAAGUUAAAGCUGAAUUCCAAGUUACUAUAAAAUCUUGCCAACUCGCUUUCCUUGAAAAUAAAGAUUGGAAAUAUCCAAAUUUUGGAUUGUAACAAUUUUCCUGGAUUUUACUUCAUCAUUGUAUAGAUAUAUGUUGAAAAAAUUUCAGCCUUUUUGAGUUCCAUGAAUGGGACAUGAAUGAAAUCUAUGAACCAUAUUUUAGCUCAAGCAGUUUCUCAACAAGACCUGGAGGAUACUUUAUUGAAAAUAUAGUUUCUCAACAUAAUACAUUGUCACUGCAACUUGAGUGGUUAAAUGAUAAAAGGUGAAUAUGUGUUGUUCAGAAAUAAGAAUAAUUGCAUAAAUUGUGAAGUUAACAAUGCUAUUUAGGAGGCGAAAUUGACACAUUGAUAAACUUUCAAAUUCCUUUACCAACAAGGCACCAGUGGUCCAGCGGUAGAAUCCCCCCCCCCCCCCCCCCGGCGCGGGUAUGGUAAUCAGCCCCAACGUCGAACAAUUUUUAUUGUUGCCUUCUUUUGAUUAGUUCCAAAUCCUGCUUUAUUUUGUUAGUCCAUGGUACAAAGUACAAAACAGCAACACCAGUAACUCUCUUACGCCCUCCUUUAAUAAGGAUUAAGCUAAGCUACAAAGAGAGGAAAAGCUAACAGCUUUUCCAAAGAUGGCAGAAAAGAACAAAAUCCAAAUUCCAACAGUGAAAUUUGGAUUUCCGAUUUGCAGUUUUAAUUUUUUUCUCUCUGUUUUUUUUUUUCCUUUAAUGCUGAUAAUUCGUUUUCUCUAAUGAUGGUCAGUGGGCCGUGCCGGCACCAAACGUCGGCCCACACAGGCUCGUGGGCUGGCACCGCACGGCCCACUAAUUUGGUGGGUCAUGUUUAUUUUUUUUAUAAGAGUCCGGCACGGCCCACCAGCCUAAUAAUAACAAUAAUAAUAAUAAUAAUAAUUUCAUAGAUCAUAGUAAUAAUUAAUGAAAAAUAAAAUUACAAUUUUAGAAUAACAAUUACAUCUAAUUUUAUUUGAACUACUAAUAUUAUAAUUGCACAUAAACUCUAUUGAAUGAAAAUGUAAUUUUUAAUUUAUCAUAAAAAUAUUUUGUUCAUAAUUUUAUUUUUUUGUGUAUAAAUAUGAAAAAUAUUUCAUUCACAAAUGAAACAUAUCUCCAUUAACUAUUAACUAAGUUAUGAUUUCAUAAAUGAAAUAUUAAUGUCGUAAAAUUUUUUAUUUAUCAUUUAUAAAAUCAUGAUAUUUAUUUAUCCAUUUAAUAAAUUAUAAACAUAAAAAAAAAUUAGAAUAUUUAUUUAAACUAGGACUUAAAUUAAUUUUAAAAAGCCUAUGCUAAAAAAAUAUAUUAAAAAAUUUAAUUUCAAGAUAUUUAUAAAAUCAUGAUAUUUUAUAUUUAUUUUUCAUUAAAAAAUUUUAUUUUGAUAUACUUUGACCCACGGGCCGCGUGCUUAGCCCACUAAUGAAGCGUGCUUAUUACGUGCCUUUUUCGCGUGCCGUGCUUUGGCCCAUAUUUAAUCGUGCUGUGCUUUUAAGACCCGCGUGCCUAAAAUUCUAGGCUCGGCACGACCCACGUGCAUGUCAUGCCGUGCCUCGUGCCCUACCGAAACGUGCUCGUGUUGUGCCGUGUCUUGUGCCACCCGGCCCAUUUGUCAUCUCUAGUUUUCUCUGACUGUGUUUUUUUGCUUUCACAGGUUUCAAAGUUGGGGUUUGAAUGCAUGAGCCUAAGUGGAGGUUACAGUUCUCCCGUCUCUGAAGAGGAUGGCAUCUCAAUAAGAAAGCAUGCUUUCAACAAAGGAAUCACUCUUUUUUUUUUUUAACUAAUUAAGCAUCAGGUUACUGUAUUACAUAGACAUUUACAAUUGCUAUGACAGUAGAUCAUUACACUGAUAUUUACAAUUAAAUAUAUAAUUGGGACUUACAUUAUUACAUUAUUAAUUUUAUGAAAUACAUGCCAAACAAAUAAUCCUUAUGGAAGAACGGUGUCUUUACUCCACUCGCAUUUCAAAAUGGAGAAAUACUUCACAAAUAAUUUUCACAAAAUUAUGUUUAAUUGAGGGAUGUUGAGUUCAUGGGGAUUCGAACCAUUGCCCUCAUAGUUAUGCUUAACUUUAAAGGCCAAUGGUUCACCACUGGGCUAAAGCCCAAGUGGCAGGAACCACUUUCUUUGAUACUGCUUAGUGCUGAUAGAUAUGGACCUUACACUAACGAAAUUCUUCUUAGAAAGUUAAUAAUUAUGAAAAUGGCAUAAAAUGAAAUUAUCUUAUCAUGGAAUAACAUUUUAAAAGAAAAUCCAAAAUCCAAAUAGCUUAUAUUUAUGUUAAAAUUCUAAAUAAAAAAAUCAUAAAUUAGUAACUAAAUUAACUUAAUAAGAAUAACAUUGUCGUAUUACACACAAAAAAAAAAUCAUUUUGAUGAAUAUUUAAUGUUUGUAAAAUAAAUUAAAUUGAUUAGGGCAAUAUGGACUUUUUAUUAUAAAAUAACCUAAAUUGUUAGGGAAAUAAUUAACUGUAGCAUUGUUAAAUUUAAAGGGGUAAGUAGUAUUUCUAACUUAUUGAGUUAUUUCCAUAAUAAUAACCUAAAUAUGUUUGUUUAAGGUUUUGGCAAAUAGCUACUCUUAGACAUUACUAAGAAUAUCUGAAGAUGAAAAUCAAAUCACUGUUAAAAUUACCCCUGAGAAGCCACGAAGUUUGGGACUACAGAAAUAGAUACCCCUGAGUAUGUGCUCUGCCUUGUUGUGAAGCAAGCUUGCAGCACCUUGAUUUGAUUAUUAAUUGGCUUGACUUCCCUCUAAUUUUGGAUAAUUUCUUUAUAUGCUUUUCACUAAAAACAAAUAAAUUUACAAAGAAUACAUGCAUAGAUAACUUUCUUUCAAAUUUAAAAUGAAAAAUAAAUUGCGAAAAGAAAUUGUGAAUCUGAUGAUUCUUUUAAUAAAAAAAUUUACUGAUUAUAUGGUCAAAUCGAGACUGUAAAUUUCUCUCCUAAGUUCUACAUGACAUUUUGCAAAGUUUAGGGGAUAUUUCUUAACUUUUUAAAUAUUUUGAACUUGUUUUCAAUUACACUGAACUUUAGGACACUUGUCAAAACUUAUAAGUUCAUGAUUAAUCAUGAUAAAGAUAAAGAGCACGUGUCCCAGCUUAACACUUUUAGUCAUUCUGCUCAUUGUUGACGUUAGAGUCCACUGUCUCUCUACUUAUUGAAACUUGAAAGACACCCAAAACAAAGAAACCAAAACUACAGCUUCAAAAAUGGCAGAAGAGAAACUCCAAGUUCCAAGAGUGAAACUUGGUACCCAAGGCCUCGAGGUAAACUACCCAUAUGUAAUUUUUUUUUUUUAUCAAAUCCUGGAAAUUUGUUUUUCAUGGUCUUACAGGUUUCAAAGUUGGCGCUUGGAUGCAUGAACCUGAGUUCUGGUUAUAGCUCUCCAGUCUCAGAAGAGGAUGGCAUCUCCAUGAUAAAACAUGCUUUCAGUAAAGGAAUCACUUUCUUUGAUACUGCUGAUGUGUACGGACAAAAUGCUAAUGAAACUCUUCUGGGAAAGGUUAUGGUCAUUUCUUUGAAUUCUCUUACCUCUUAUAUAAUUCAGACAUAGGUCAAGUGGUAACUUAGGAACCACAGUCCUGAUGAAAUAUGUUUGUUUAGGAAUUGGUGAAUAAUUACUUUUGUAUCAUAGAAGGGAAACCUUGUCAGAAUUUUUAGAAUUUUAUUGAAUUAAAAAAAAAAAAAAAGAGUACUCCUUCGAUUUCAGGCCUUCAAGAUGUUGCCCAGAGAAAAGGUACAAAUAGCCACAAAGUUUGGGGUUGUAGGACUAAGAGAUAAUGGCGUGAUCGUGAAGGGCACCCCUGAUUACGUGCGCUCGUGUUGUGAAGCUAGCUUGAAGCGACUUGAUGUGGAUUACAUUGAUUUGUAUUAUCAACAUAGAGUGGACACAUCGGUCCCUAUCGAGGAAACCAUGAGUGAUAUUUUUUCUCCCGGGCUAACUAUCUGAAUCGUAAAGUUCUGUCUUAAAUUACAAUAUUUAAAGAGUUUUUUAGAAACUAUAUUCCUUGUCAUGUUAUAGAUUGGCGAAAUGAAGAAGCUGGUGGAGGAGGGUAAAAUCAAGUACAUUGGUUUGUCUGAGGCUAGCCCAGACACAAUUAGGAGAGCACAUGGUGUUCAUCCCAUCACAGCUGUACAAAUGGAAUGGUCCCUCUGGACUCGUGAUAUCGAGGAAGAGAUAAUACCCCUCUGCAGGUUUGUUCUUCUUUCAGUGAACACUAUCCACAUUAGUCUUCUCUUUUACAGUCCUUUGAAGAGUGUCUAAGGACCUAUUUACCUUUUCCAAUCUAGUAUUUUGUGUCUAAUGUCUGUAGAAUUUUAAAAAAAAUAAUUGCUUGCUUAGAAUAGAUUAGAUUUUCUGUGCAAGUAUAUGCUAAUAUAUACAAGGCUGCUUUUCUUAUACAUUGAAGUGGGCAGGGAACUUGGCAUUGGAAUUGUUCCAUACAGCCCUCUUGGUCGUGGGUUUUUCGGUGGCAAAGCUGUUGUGGAAAGUGUACCCGCAGAUAGCGUUUUGGUACUUUUUUCAUAAAUGUUUAUCCACAUCAAUUUGUUUCCUAUGUAGUGUAUAAAUGUUUUAAAAUAGCAACAGUAGUUUCCAGUUUCCUUUAAUGCUAAUGUUUUAUAUAUCAUAAUACAUAUUAAAAUGAUGCAUAUGUUUGUUUUAUAAGCAUUUUUUUCCUCGGUACAAAGGAGAGAACCUGGACAGGAACAAGAAUAUUUAUUUUCGCAUAGAGAAUCUUGCCAAAAAGUACAAAUGCACUUCUGCUCAACUAGCCCUAGCAUGGGUUCUUGGACAGGGGGAUGAUGUCGUACCUAUUCCUGGUAACUUACUUUCUUUUGAGUUUGUGAUUCAUGUAGUGCCUUGAAGAAGUAUAUAGAGUUUAAAAAACCCAGCUGAUAAAAAUGAUAUUACCAGCAAUGUUACUUACUGUUAAUUUGCUUCAAUUUUCAGGGACAAUAUUGACUCCUUGAGGAUUAAACUUACAAAAGAGGAUGUGAAAGAAAUUUCUGACGCUGUGCCCAUAGAAGAGGUAGCAGGAGACAGAGACCCGGAAGGC